CUGUGGCACCAGGAGAGGGCAGCAGCGAGCCUCCCUUCCAGUGCUGCUGCUGCUGCGGUUUCAAGGCAGGCUGGGCCUUCGGGAGGCCGCCGCGUGGUUGCAAGCUGGGGAGGCCGGGAGCUGCCGGCAGUCCGGAGUCUCCGCCACGGUGCGGGGGCUUGGAAUUGGAAAGCAGCCGCGGCGCCUUUCAGGAAAGCAAGAGCCCCCGCUUUGCCUUCCUAGCCUCGUAGCCCGCCGGAUUUCCAGCUCCAUUCUUUGAAUCGUGUUCUGAUGCACCAGGUCAAGAAUGUUCAGCUUCUGUGUUUAAGAAAGGCGGGAACUUUAAUUGACAAGAGGUGUGGAAAACUAGGCAGACGUUGCCAGAAAUGGCAGCCAAGAUGGUGGUGUAUCCAUGGAGACAACCACACAGAGCUGGGCCUGGCAGCUUCGCUUCCAGGGCCACUGCCGGAUGGAGCCCUGGGAAGGCUGCAAAGCCAUGAGGAAGAAGAGCAGAGAGAGGGACAAGGGGACCACAAAGCUGAGUGCCACACUGCCCUCCAGGUACCCCCAGGGAACUACUGAAGCAAGAAGUUCUUGUUAUCCACAAAGGCUCUAUGAAGGCGCACGACAAAGAAAACUCCACAGGCAUCCCUGAAUUCCAGACCCCCAAUGUCCCUUGCCCUCCAUCUCUUUCAGCUGAAACAGACUGCUAAGGAACUCACUGCCAGUGCGACAGAGAGCUCUAAUUGCUGCAUCGGGUUAGGCUUAGGGUUUCCCAAAUCAGUGGCACAUGGCACCACAGAGGGAGGAGGAAUCAGACCCAGGAAGCUGAGGCAGGGCAAAGGGCUAUGAGGAGGGGGAGAAUGAAAGCCAUGGGGGAUGUGGGGGGAUUUCGGCUUCUUGGCUCCUGCAAUGUAACCUAGAUCUCACUGCCACACAUCAUAGUCAUGGAAGGCCAGAACCCUGGGUGAGUGAUAGCAAUAGCAAUAGCAAUAGCACUUACAUUUAUAUACCGCUCUAUAGCCGGAGCUCUCUAAGUGGUUUACAAUAAUUUAGCAUAUUGCCCCCAACAUUUCUGGGUACUCAUUUUACCGACCUCGGAAGGAUGGAAGGCUGAGUCAACCUUGAGCCCCUGGUCAGGAUUGAACUUGUAACCUUCUGGUUACAGGGCGGCAGUUUUACCACUGCGCCACCAGGGGCUCAUCCUGGUAGCUUUGUGGAAGAGCACAUUGUGGGGUGAUUUGGCAACUUUUGCAGAGCAUGAUGUGGGAGGAAGAGGCCCGUCCUGAGGCAUGAGUUAACUGGAGAAGGGGGUCCCACUGGGGAGGAUAACAGCUCAGGUUAUGGGGCGCAUAGACCAGAGCAAGCAUGACUUGUCCCCUUAGCUAAGUAGGGUCCACCCUGGUUGCAUACAAAAGGGAGACUAGAAGCAUGAGCACUGUAAGAGAUUCCCCUCAGGGGAUAAUGGGGCCGCUCUGGGAAGAGCAUCUACUGUAGGUUCCAAGUUCCCUCCCUGGAGGCACCUCCAUGAUCGAGGUGAGAGAGAUUCCUGCCUGCAACCUUGGAGAAGCUGCUGCCAGUCUAUGUAGACAAUACUGAGCUAGAUAGUCCAAUGGUCUGACUCAGCAUAUGGCAGCUCCCUAUGUCCCACGUUCAGUUCCCAGCAUCUCCAGUUGAAAAGGAGCCUGGGAAAUCUCUGCCUGAAGCCAUGGAGAGCUGCAGCCAGCCAGUCCCGGGCAAGAUGGGCCAGUGGUCACACUCUGUAUUAGGCGGUUUUGUGUGUUCAUGGGAAAUCCCCAUCCCCAUGCACUGCCGCCUGUUGCUUGGUAUUCUUGGGCACUGAGCCACCGUGACCCAGUUUAGCUUCUGAACUCAGAGAAGAUCCUAUCUGGAGCAAAGUGCCAAGCUUGCAAACCGGAUUCAGGUCUAGGAAACAUGACUGGAGACAUAAUACGAUAUGCUAUGCUUGAAAAUGCACCAGCUAUGUUGAAGAAUAAGCAGGAGUGGUGGUGGUGGUGAUGUUGUUAUGCCCAGAAACGGGCCUGGCUCAGUGGGAAUGCCUGUUAUCAGAUCUCUUGGAAUGCUACAUGGUCGGGUUCAGUCCUAGGCUGUAAAGGAAGGGGCGGGCGAUGUUUUGGAUGACUGAUCAUCCCACGAUCUAAGAGUUUCACAGACUAUGUCUAUGGUUAAUAUGUUACAUGUGCUUUCUAUGCCAAAUGUACAUUUUCCAAGCCUCCCUGCAAACCAAGCGAGAACUGAUCUUCUUUGCUGAAGGACAGGUGUUGGCUACCCAUCGCUUUCCAUGGUCCACCUUCAUACUCUGUGACGCAUCAAAAGUGGACCUCCCGACCCGUCAAAAGUCAUUUCAACAGCAGGAUUAAGGAGGCUGCUGUGCCAGACGGAAACCCCACUCUCCAGAGAAGUCCACAAAUUCCCGUGUGUUGGGCUUCUCCAGCAGAUGGCAGCAGUGUGCCACAUUCUGAAUGCCUCCGGCAGACGGUGGUGACCUGCUCUCAUCUUUGCCUGGGAAUGACAGAGGCAGGCCACCUCUUCUGCUCCACCAGCAAGCAGAGUUCUUCUUGGCUGUUUGUGAUCUGGUUGCCCUGUUCCACAAAUAGGAUACACAGCCUUCAGGUCUUCUCCUGCCCAGUAUGUUUCAGGUCAUUUGGCACACUUGGUAUAAUGUACAGCAGGUGAGCUGCUCACUAGUACUAAUAAUUAGGGAUGUGCACGGAACCGCCGGUCAUAUCCGGGCAACGGGAUGGCAGGAUGGUACGCUGCUGCCCCAAUUAGUUUGGGGGGGGAACGGAUGCCAGCGGGGGGAAAGCGGCGGGAGGGGUAAGUGCACCCUUCCCCGCGAUUAAAGCAGCACCCUCACCGCCUUCAAACCUCCCCUGCACGGUUCCAUGCACAUCCCUACUAAUAAUGGGAAUUAUAUCUAGUAGGGGUACCUGAAUGGCCCCUGCUCAGAAUGCCUCCCCCACUUCUGUACUGAGACGAGGAGCAAGAACUAGGAACAGGACCUUCUCGGGCAUGGCACCUUUCUCCUCUCUCUCUGUUAGGCUUCAUAACUUUUAGAAAGACUUUGAAAUCGUUAGUACUUUUUUGCAGCUUUUAAGAUGCUACAAUUGUAUUUUGGUUUCUGUUGCUGAUUGUUCAUUUGUGGAUGUUUUUAACGUUUUAGUGUAAUUUCCUAUUUGCUAGUUAUCUUGUGAAUCUUUCUGAAGGAGAGGAAUAUAAAUAUUUUCAAUAAAUAAA